rnacentral:misc_RNA from 1 species
AUGGGAAAACGUUCAGUCUCAAUGUUUCUCAUCGACAUUUCCCUGUUCCUCUUGUUGGGAACGUUAAUCGUUGCUUGCACAGUCAAGAAAGAGAAGAUAAAAGAACGUCAUAACCACAAUAGAACAUUGCUAAAGAGAACAGUUGGAGGAAAGAGAAAAGAUACAGGACAUCGGCACAGGACAUCGACAAUUCCACCACGGGACAAGUCGUCGUUGCACGCACCGACCGUGAAAAAUGGAAACAGUUUGUCCGCAGUUGAACCCAACGGACGUAUCAAAAUCGGUUACCGUCUGUCACCUUCAGUCAAAAAGGGAGAAAUUGUCGCUCCAAAAGCAACCGUCACUCCAGCAGUGAAUACUCGUAAACCAAUCAACGAAGCUAUUUCGGAAGGAAUUAUUCUGGACCCAACUUAUUUUAAAAAUGGAGGAAAUCUGGAUUCGAAGUCGCCGAAAAACCAAAAACUUGCCGAAGAACUUCAACAAUUCAUUGACAAUCCUGGUCUUGGUUCAAAUGAGACAUCCACUCUUACAGAUGAUAAUGACGUGCCACGGCACAUCACCAUACAAAUGAGCCACGCCUGACCUCUUGACCAGCUACAGUAACCCAAAAAAAAUUAUCAGUCCCCCGAAAUUGCUGAAAAAUGAAGGAGAUGGUAGGUGGAUGCUGCGUUUGUGCAGAUGAGAAUGGUUGGACAGACAAUCCAUUGAUCUAUUGUGAUGGAGAGAAUUGUGAAGUUGCAGUACAUCAGGGAUGUUAUGGAAUUCAAGAAGUACCCGAAGGCGAAUGGUUUUGUGCAAAAUGUACGAAAGCAUCAGCUAUGAUGCCCGGCAGUAUAAAUGAGGCAACAUUUUGUUGUCAAUUGUGUCCGUUUGACUAUGGAGCAUUGAAAAAAACUGAUCGAAACGGAUGGGCUCAUGUAAUUUGUGCACUUUACAUUCCAGAAGUGCGAUUUGGGAACGUACAUAGUAUGGAACCAGUCAUAUUAAAUGAUGUACCAACUGAUAAAUUCAAUAAACUGUGCUACAUCUGCAAUGAAGAACGUCCAAAUGAUGCGAAAAAAGGUGCAUGUAUGUCGUGUAACAAGUCGACGUGCAAGAGGAGCUUUCACGUAACCUGUGCUCAGCGGAAAGGACUUUUAUGUGAAGAAGGGGCAAUAAGUCGGAAUGUCAAGUAUUGUGGUUAUUGUGAAAAUCAUUUGAAGAAAGCGAUAAACGAUCCUGCAAUCAAAGUCAUCCCAGCUUGUCCACCUGUUCAACGGCUCUCCAAAGAGCAGGAUAAAAAGAAAACAGUAUUGCUGACAUCACUGCCCCUACCACCGCCGGCACCCAGGUUGCAUAUGCUUGCGGACCCUCUUCCUAUCAAGUCUAACAAAGUGAACAACGUACUCGGGCUCGGUUCAGCAAUCAACGCGGUCUCCCUCGAAGAAAGGCCUGCAUCUGGAUCUACGGUUAAUUCGGGGAUCUUUGUACCCCCACCAACUGCCUUCUCACCUCCUUUGACUACGUCAAGUAGAUCAUCUGUGGCUCAGGAUCCAUCGCCUCCAUUGACAAUUAACAAGAAUUCACUAUCGUCGUCUGGUCCGUUGAUUCCAUCGACGGCACACUUAUCAGCGACAACGGCUUCUGCUACACCGAUUAUGGCAAACGGAAGUACGCUUCCACCAUCAUCAGAAACUACCGUUGGAACCCAUUGUCUACAACAGUUGCAAAUUCAAUCAGCUGCAGCAGCGGCGAUCACCCAGAACCAGAUUGGACCCAGUGAGCUGAACGGAUAUCCAGCAGCUAGUCAACUCUCGAGCUUCAUGCACGAAAUUCCUGCUCGAAAUACGACAAGCGUCGCUAGUCUACUACCGCCAGGAGCCGCCGAAUAUCAUUUAAAUGGAAGUGGCGAUGAAGAAAAAACUGUGAAAGCUGUUCUCACAGCUCCAUUGACAAAAGCCAAAAGGAUACGUGAUUCAAAAAAUGAUAUGAUGGAUAAGACGCAUAAAAGGCCGAGAGCUAACGCCAGGCCUCCAGCAGUUCUUGGUUCAAUGUCCUCUGGAUCUUCUGGUGGUACAGUAGGAAAGUCGCCGAGUAUGCAAAGACUGCAAAACCUUGUGGCGCCAAUUGUUUCGGAAACUGUUACCGAUUUUCAACGAGAUCGUGUCGCUGAUCGAACCGCCGCUGAGAGAAGAGCAGCCGCUGCACAAUCUCAACCAUCCACGUCGACGAACGGAGGACCGAAUGUGACGAUUCCAGCUGUAGUAGAAGUUCAUACGAAUUCAACAAAUUCAACAAAUCAUCAGAAUAAUGGACUUACUCAAAACGCGCCAGCGUCUACUUCAAUGCAAGCUGGAACUAGUAGCAAUGAUGGAGUUAUUUCUCAAAACGGAACUUCAUCCACUUCACAAUCGAAUCGACUCAAUCUUCCAUCAUUCAUGGAACAGCUGUUGGAACGACAAUGGGAUCAAGGAUCAAGUCUUCUUAUGGCAAAUGCACAUUUUGAUGUUGCACAACUUUUGAGUUGUCUUUUCCAACUAAAGUCUGAAAAUUUUCGACUCGAAGAAAACUUGUCUGGUCUUCGUAAACGACGAGAUCAUCUUUUUGCUUUGAACUCUCGAUUGGCUGAAGUGAACACACUGGAUGUUUCGAAACGACAAAGAUCAGAUGGAUUACUUCUUCAACAACAAAUUGCACAUCACCUGGAUCCAACAUCGAUUGUUCCGAAAGCUGAAGUACACAAACAAGAACCAUUGUCUGCGCCUACGUCUGUCCCAUUGCCUGCGAAUCAUAGCAGCUCUUUGUUUGAAGACAUCAAGGCACCAAAAGCUACGUACAGCAGGAAAACUCCAUCCAAUAUACCUCUAACUGUUCCACUGUCAACGGCUGCUACUGCAUUGACUACGACUACCGCUGCAUCAUCAGGUGCUCCAGUUAACUCAAAUAUUCAGAAUCACAGAGCAACACCAUCCACCGCUGGUGCUCCAAUGGCUGCAACUCCCAUCAUGACUGCAGUUACAUCUGCAAAUGAAUUAGCUGCACUCAGUCCGGAACGCGCACAAGCUCUUCUGAACAUGUAUCGCAUGCCACUUGAUGCCAACGUUGCUGCACAACUAUCGAUGAUCACCAACUUCCCGGGCCAAGUCAAUCCAAGUCUAUUCUCACGACUUUUGGCUGUUAACAUGAUGAAUGGAGGUCUCCAGCCAAAUGGACAACCCCUUUCAGCUCUUCCACCACCAACAUCUGCAACUCCGAAUGGAAAAUAACAACUGCAAUCUGAAAUUUUAAUUUUUUCACUCUCCAAAAAUCAAGUUUAACUUCGUGUUUCUAAAAUAAUACCUCAAUUCCCCCUCUCCUCAUUCACUAAAAAAUAAGAAAUUUUGGUUUUCCUUAUCUCUCAACUCUCAUCCCGGUUUUUGAUCGAUUGAUUUCGCUUGCAUCGUGGAUUUUUUGCUGUAUUUUGAAAACAUUUUUUUCUAUAAAAAUCCAAUAACUACCUUUUUGUCUCAAAUCCACAUAUAUGUCAAAAACUUUGAAUUUUGCGGGUCAUAUUAUUUCUCUAUUUUGAAGCGCAUUUGCUCUUCUCGGCGUCACUUUUCUCCAUCUCAUCCUUCCCCAAUUCUCACUCUUAAAUACUUGCACCGCCUAUAGUGUGUUUUUAUGUGUGAACCAAUUCCUGUCAAUUACUUAUCCUACUAUCAUCACCACCUCCGUAAAAUUGUGCCUCUCUUACUUAUUUUUUUACCCACUCAUACAACUUCCACAAUCCCCCAUCCACCCCCUCAGUCUCACGAUUUGCAUUCGAUAUUUAUUGAAUUACCUAUUGUUCUUAUUGUUGGUUAUAUUCAUUUGUCACUGUGCUUAUUUGAAUCAAAACCGAAAAUUUAUUGAAAAAUUUGGAAAAAAAAAGAAAAA